AUGGAUGAGCACGCACUCGGCUUUGAAGCACCGCCUUGCGCAUCUCGUCUGUUGCCGCCGGUCACGGCACUCACCUCCGGUCACCGCCGGUCGCUACCCUCGCCGCCGUCGUCUCCUGCCUUUCCCACCGGCUCCACGUAUGCAGCAGCGUGCCUCCUUGUGGUUGCAGCUCCCCAUGAUGACGGUCGCAGCUCCGGUGGUGGCGGUCGCGACUCCGCUGAAGAUGGCCAUAGCUCCGACGGAGAUGGCCCCAUGGUAGCAACUACGGUGGCGGCGUGUGGCCUUCCAGCGCUCGUGUUGGUUCCAGCAAAAUCACUUGCCGGUUGUAACAUUUUUUUUCAUGGAUGCAGCUCCAUCGUGCAGACGCUCGACGGUGCCGGUCCCAGCUUUUCGUGCCGCUGGUUGCAGCUCCUGUGCCUCAAUGCUCCAAGCGUCUACGACGACGGUCGCCGCGGUGCCUUGGGCACCCACCGUCGCCUGCCCCGUUGUGGUUGCAGCUCCGCCAUGGCAUCUGUCGCCGUCGCCUGCUCUGUUGGUUGUAACACCACAUAUUGCUGGUUGCAGCUCUCCGGCAAACUGGUUGCAGCUCCCCCGCGGUGCCAGUUCCAACAAAACGACGGCGUGUCGUUGCUGCUAUGGAGCAGCCGGAUGCAGCCGGUGCUCGCGGUGGGUCAUAGCAGCGCGCAUGCUGUCUCUAAGAGCAGGAAGAGGAGAAACAAGGGCGUGGAGGAGAUUCUCGUCGGUUUGGGUUCAUCGCAUGACGUAGUUGGUCUUGGGGGGCAAACGGCGAUUGCGGUGAACGAAGAAGUAGGGAACUUCUUCCGCAACAAGCGUGGGCUGCGUCAAGGGGACCCAGCCUCGCCGUUGCUGUUUAACUUUGUGGCGGACGCCUUGGGCGCCAUGCUCGACAGAGCUCGAUUGGCCGGCCACAUCAGGGGAGUGGUGGACGAUCUGAUUCCGGGGGGAGUGUCACACCUGCAAUAUGCAGAUGACACACUCCUCCUUUUCGAGCCCGACUCACACAGUAUCGCAACGGUCAAGGCCAUUCUGCUGUGCUUUGAACUCAUGUCGGGACUUAAAAUCAACUUUCACAAAUGUGAAGUGGUGUCCAUAGGGAUGGACGCGACCGAAAGUCAGUGGGUCGCCAAGUUGCUUAACUGCAAACUUGGCCAGUUUCCGUUCACUUAUCUCGGUCUCCCGAUUGCGGCGAAGAAGUGCUCGAUUGCCGAUUGGGAACCCCUCCCCUCCAAGGUGGCGAACAGGGAACUCAUGGAUUUUUUUACUGUUCGUAUCAAAUCACGGUAG
rnacentral:rRNA from 1 species